GACGAACGCUGGCGGCGUGCUUAACACAUGCAAGUCGAACGGAAAGGCCCUGCUUUUGUGGGGUGCUCGAGUGGCGAACGGGUGAGUAACACGUGAGUAACCUGCCCUUGACUUUGGGAUAACUUCAGGAAACUGGGGCUAAUACCGGAUAGGAGCUCCUGCUGCAUGGUGGGGGUUGGAAAGUUUCGGCGGUUGGGGAUGGACUCGCGGCUUAUCAGCUUGUUGGUGGGGUAGUGGCUUACCAAGGCUUUGACGGGUAGCCGGCCUGAGAGGGUGACCGGCCCCAAUGGGACUGAGGUACGGACCAGAAUCCUACGGGAGGCAGCAGUGGGGAAUAUUGGACAAUGGGCGGAAGGCUGAUGCAGCAACGGCGCGUGCGGGAUGACGGCCUUCGGGUUGUAAACCGCUUUCGCCUGUGACGAAGCGUGAGUGACGGUAAUGGGUAAAGAAGCACCGGCUAACUACGUG
rnacentral:rRNA from 1 species